rnacentral:lncRNA from 1 species
CAUACUUUCAAGCCUACUUGAUAUUUGUCCUGAUCAAUUAGCCUCUGAAAUCUAUCCUGCAAAGAUUAGACACCUCAGGAUGUAUGGCAAAGUAGAUGAUCGAACUCGAAGAAAUCAAUAUCAAUUAUCGACCUGACCGACAGUGAAAGCCUAGAUACUGACCAACUUCCUCAUUGAGUGCACCAUUCCCAACCAACAAUCGACUUCGACACAACCCAAGA